UUAAGAUUUUUGAAGGAACUUCGUUAACCAAUGCAAAGCUUGAUGAUCUUUUUAAAAUGCGUCUUUCACUCAAGGAUGGAACUGGGAUGGAAUCGGGACUGAUUUGCUCGGAAGCGGGAUCAUUUAUGGGGUCUGCAAUAAUAAAUAAUUGUAGAUUCGCCAAAAUGUAGUUUUUAUUUCACCAUGAAAAAGAGAGAAAUACGUAAAUAUGUAAAUUUUACCUGCAACCGUGUCUUCUUGAGAAGAAACAGGAUCUAAAUUUGAAUCUGAUACAGGAAAAUGGAGAGGCAAAAAAAGACUUGGCAACACAUCCUUUUUCAGCAACAUAUUAGACGACCGAUCUUCCACAAGAAAAUGCCUGUCACAAAUACGGUGGGAGCGAUACACCAGGUCUGCAUUCUUAACAUGAAGAUCUUUAUCUCCGCAAAGCUCAAUCCAUCGUUCAAAACGGCUUUUGAAUUUACGGGGAUUUGGAAAGCGAUGUCGCGGGGAUUGGCGAUCAUCGCAGGUUACAACGGCACACUUGCGGUACUUCAGCAUCCUCUAACUGCAAUAGUUAAUAAUAAAAUUCCAUAUCUUCAAAUUAAACAAAUAUUUUUACCUUAUAAAGUCCUUAAUUGAACGGGGAACAAACAGUAAAACAAGAAACACCAAACAGCAACACAAAAACAACAAUAAAGAGAACGCGAACACCAAAAAUAUAUAUAAAAGUAACGAAAACAAAACUAACAGAGCAAAUUAAUCGAAAAACUGUGGCUCAAAGACCAAGAUAGCAGAACAGAACGGUUGGGAAAGCACGGGAAUCGAGACGAUAAUUAAUUUUUGACGUUUCAAGUUGUCAAAGUAACCGAAGCGCUUUUAUUUAUUAUUUUCAGUUAUAAUAUAACAAGUGAUAUGAUUAUUAUCGAUAAUAUUUCGAGUGAAACCGAGCUGCAGAUUCAACGAGUGCGAAGCACGAGUUGAAUGUGCUGCUUCGGUUUCACGAGCCAUAUCUUCGAUUAUUAAUCAUAUCACGAGUUAUAUUCAACAUGAGAAUAUAAUAAAUGAACACAUUUUUUGAUAAUAGAGUUGAUUUCGUCGUUUUGAGCUUGCCCCCAACGUUGGCAAGCCAUAAAAGACAAAAAAAUUUACGAAAUUUUAAAAUUUGUCAAUUUGACAGUUUUUAAAUUUAGAUAGCAACAGACCACAAUAAGGCAAUAAAAUUAUUAUCGCUGUGAUAGACAUGUAACUAAGGGCAUGAACAAAUUCUAUUGGACGAAAUGGGGUCAUGUGAUUCAUGAAUUAUAUUCUCAUAGAUAUUGUUUUAAAUUUAAAAACAUGCCGCCAGCGCCUCUCGUGGACUGUUCCCCGUACUAAAACGCAUGCCCAUUUCAAUCCUUUGAAGUUCCCGCCCCAUGAUCACAAUUUUUGGAUGAUAUUAGUUCACAUUAGGUUGUAUAUGUUUCUGGGUUUGUUUUUUUUUGUAUGUGUUAUUAAUAAUGACAGAAAGACAUGUGUUAACAUCAGGGACGAUUACCAAUUUUUUUUUGUUGAUGAUCGGAGAUGCAUUGUGAACGGAGAAUAUUCUUUGCAAUCAAAUAAUGUAAUGAACGUCAAUUGGGAUAUUGAAUUAAAGGUGCUUCAAGAGUUUAUUCGAGCUGGCAUGCGAAAUAGCCAGUAUAACGUUGUGGUAUUCCUUUAUUUGGAUGUCUCAGUAGAAAAGGCAACAUGUGAAAGCCCAAGAGUACAUUUGUGUGUCAUAUGAUUGUAGUUGCCCUUCAUGGACAUUAUAAUAUAUUUGGUACCAAUAAUUCGCGUUUAUGGGACGUACAUCUGAAGAAAAGUGAAUCAGCUGAAGUCAGAGCUGUUGUCUCUGAAAAUCCGUUUAAUCCCCAAGUGAGUUUAAAAACGGCUAAUCUUGAACAACUUUAUGAAAGUUUACGACAAACAUUUUAUUUGAGGUAAACCUGCAGAUUUGUCGGAUGUGGACCAUCCUGAUUAUGUUCCAUCACAAAAUUUAAGAUAUCAAAAUAAAUCCACACAUAAUACUUGUAAUAUUGAAAGACACAGUUGUUUAAAAAAGAGAAAACUGAAUAAA